rnacentral:rRNA from 1 species
CACGUAGGGGGCAAGCGUUGUCCGGAUUUAUUGGGCGUAAAGAGCUCGUAGGUGGUUCGGUAAGUCGGGUGUGAAACCUCCAGGCUCAACCUGGAGACGCCACCCGAUACUGCUGUGACUGGAGUCCGGUAGGGGAGCGUGGAAUUCCUGGUGUAGCGGUGAAAUGCGCAGAUAUCAGGAGGAACACCAGCGGCGAAGGCGGCGCUCUGGGCCGGUACUGACACUGAGGCGCGAAAGCCAGGGGAGCGAACGGG